rnacentral:rRNA from 1 species
UCUUACCGGGACCGACAGCAAUAUGAAGGCCAGGCUGAAGACUUUGCCGGAUUAGCUGAGAGGUGGUGCAUGGCCGUCGUCAGUUCGUACUGUGAAGCAUCCUGUUAAGUCAGGCAACGAGCGAGACCCACGCCCACAGUUGCCAGCGUACUCUCUGGAGUGACGGGUACACUGUGGGGACCGCCGCUGCUAAGCGGAGGAAGGAAUGGGCAACGGUAGGUCAGUAUGCCCCGAAUAUCCCGGGCUACACGCGAGCUACAAUGGUUGGUACAAUGGGUAUCUACCCCGAAAGGGGACGGGAAUCUCCUAAAACCAAUCUUAGUUCGGAUUGAGGGCUGCAACUCGCCCUCAUGAAGCUGGAAUCCGUAGUAAUCGCGUUUCAACAGAACGCGGUGAAUACGUCCCUGCUCCUU